UAGCCAUGAUGAUAAAUUUCUUCUUCACUCAGUGUUCCCUUCCUUGUUGGACGCAAUGUCUCUUCCCUACACAAAAACAUGAAGCAAAAGAGAAGAAAAUGACGGAAGCUACAAAUCCUGCAGCACACGGAAUCCCCACCAUGGUAGAAGUUUAACAUCAAGUCCCAACACCCCCAAAACAUCUUAAUUCAGGAGUGUUUAGGCAUUGCUUCUGAAAUAAGUGAAAUAAAAGGUGUUUUCUCACUUA